AUUGAACGCUGGCGGCAUGCCUUACACAUGCAAGUCGAACGGAACUGUUUGGAUGAAGUUUUCGGAUGGAUUUUAAACAGUUUAGUGGCGGACGGGUGAGUAACGCGUGGGUAACCUGCCUCACACUGGGGGAUAACAGUUAGAAAUAGCUGCUAAUACCGCAUAAGCGCACGGCUCCGCAUGGAGCAGUGUGAAAAACUCCGGUGGUGUGAGAUGGACCCGCGUCUGAUUAGCCAGUUGGCGGGGUAACGGCCCACCAAAGCGACGAUCAGUAGCCGGCCUGAGAGGGUGAACGGCCACAUUGGGACUGAGACACGGCCCAA
rnacentral:rRNA from 1 species